UACGUAGGGGGCAAGCGUUGUCCGGAUUUAUUGGGCGUAAAGAGCGUGUAGGCGGCCAGGUAGGUCAGCUGUGAAAACUCGAGGCUUAACCUCGAGACGCCGGCUGAAACCCUCUGGCUAGAGUCCGGAAGAGGAGAGCGGAAUUCCUGGUGUAGCGGUGAAAUGCGCAGAUAUCAGGAAGAACACCCGUGGCGAAGGCGGCAUCCUGGACUGGUCCUGACGCUCAGGAGCGAAAGCGUGGGGAGCGAUCCGG
rnacentral:rRNA from 1 species